AUCCAUGGGCUAUUCAAUACGGAACUAGAACCAGAGCCGGCACAUUGUUUGCGGACAUUAAUUCAAUUAUUUCUCACCCAAUCCCUUGGCUAUCCCGCUCCUUUCUCCAUGGCCGAGCUCCGAAUCCCUCGCUGCCCCCUGGAGCCAGAUCUCGGCCUCCCUCCCUUUGAAUUGGCGAUGCGAGAGCAAGAGAGCGAUGGGAAGAGACGUUGGUGAGAAAGUCGGCAUCUUUUUCUUCCCUUCUCCUCAACAGCUCAACCUCCGGUCUCUUCUUUUGCUUCUUCUCUUCCUCUUUGGCAGUGGAUGAUCCGAUGAUGAGAUGCUUCGAAAUGCCUCGUCUUCUACUUCUCCUCAACAGGCUGUAAGAAGAAGUCGCAGCGGCAGAAAGAAGGGAUCUUUAAGUCGGAGGGACUUUCAUAUCGCUUUGGGAAGCCUCACUGGAGGUAGGGCUUCGUUAACCUGAAAGCCAUGGACCAGCUGCACGGGCCAAUCACGAGACCAGCACAAGGUGUCCACAAGCUUAUGGUCAAAUGAUCCAUGUUCCCCAGGGCCUAUUGAUAUGGAUGGGUGUUUUGUUAUUGUCUUUUUUUAUCUUGAUGCCCAGUGGCCUCAACGGUGUGACCUUUUUAACUGUGAAAUUUCUUGUUGUGGUACCAUUACUCUUUAGAUAGAUAUUCUAUUGGAGGACUGCAACAAAGGCCAGAUAUUGUUGCAGUUGUAGAAGGCAUCAAGAAUCCAUCAGCAAUAUUUGUCUGCACCUUGGUAUGGUAGCUACCAAGUCAUUAUGAACUACAUUGACAAGCUGCAACAAUGAUCUCAUAUUUUAUUUAAUGAGCUCAGCCAUUAUUAAAUGCUAGCUAGGCAAAAUGGAAAAAGAAACAUGUCAAUGGACAGCUCAAAGAUUACCAGACAUAUUCUUAAGUUGCAGAUUAGACUUAAAAUUUCUGCUCUGCAGAUCAUAAGGGUAUUGAGUAAAUUUCUGCUCUGCAGGUCAUAAGGGUAUUGAGUUCAUAUAAAUUACUGUGGUUAGCCUAAUUGGACUACGAGCUAUGCCCUAUCACUGUAAUUCCUUGUUGUAGAAACAUUUGUAAACAUUUAUGCCAAAAUGAUUAUCUUUUAUUUGCCGCUUCUUUUC